CCUUAAAAGCAAUAGCCUGUUACAUAUUCAUACACCUCAUACAUGAUGCGUAAAUUCCAUUCAAACAAAGGAUUCUGUCUGGGCAGUGUCAACUUCUUCCUCUGAAUCCUAACGGCGUCUUCAGGGCUGAGCGAGGCAGGAAGAAGUUCGUUUCUUCUGAUAAGAGAGCAAGAAAUUCUUUUUCUCUGAAAGAUUUAGGUGUCCUGUGGCUGCUAUCUAGGUGCGAGUCCGCUCUUUAAAAAAAGUAUCUUACAUAGCAUAGUUUCUAUUUUAACACGAUGUUAUAACCUAAAACUGUGUUUAACACACUACUUAAGAAAAUUAAUACAGCGUAACUUUCUAACAUAACACAUAUAAUAUUCAUUUUAACAUUAGCAAAAAGCCAGUCAUAAAAUACGCAUUUUUCACGGUUGCUCAGCGGUGCCUCCGCAUUUGCCGGGCAGAGCCGCAGCGCCCAGCGCUCCCCACUUCCAGCCCGCCUGCGCCGCCCGCUCGCAUCCAGCGAGCCCCGGGAGCGGAAUCUGGGCUCGGGGGGAGCGGGACGGGACGGACGGAUCCGCACUGGGGGGGCCCCGAGCCCCCUGCCCAUCGCUGGGGGCUCCUGGGGGUUUCUCGCCCUGCCCCAGAGCCGGUGCUGCUGCGGCCGUGGGGCACCGGGGGUGCGAAAGGGGGGUCCGGGGCGGGAGCGGAGGAGGAGCGGGAGGAAGGGCAGGGAGAGGGGAAGGGGAGGAGCAGGAAGAGGAGCAGCCCGAGGAGCAGCAGCAGCGGUGGAAGGGGCAUUGCGGGGUUCCAGGGCGAGCCCGCAGAGCCCGCAGCUCGGCUGGCCCCGGCAGCACCGCAUUGCCCUGCAUCGCGCAGAAAGCAAGCAGCGCUGGGUGGCCGGGGAGUCACCGCUCCACUCACGGCACACCCCACUUACAAGCUCAUAAAAGUAUAUCUACUGCUUUGAAGCCUACAAAGCAUUUUCCAGUGUGCUUGGUUAGUCCAAAUGAGCAAAUAUCAAUAAGCUGGGAGCAGCAGUUCCAUAAUCUUUCCAGAAUCAGGAGAGCAUGAGCCCUGGGACCCCCAAUAGCCCCUCAGCCUGUCUAAGCAGGACCCGGGAGAGGGGGGAUGCCCAGGACCCACAGGCCCCCCAGCAGCUCUGAGAAGAGGGACCCUCACAACCCC